AUUACCUGACUAAAAGCCCCUCAGGACCAGGGACUGAUCUCGAUCAUAAUCAUUAUUGUGUAGCAAGGGGAUGUGGUCCUGUCUGGCUGUAGCACCCUGAGCCUGCUGACUCCCACACUGCAACAGCUGAACCACGUAUUUGAGCUGCACCUGGGGCCAUGGGGCCCUGGCCAGACAGGCUUUGUGGCUCUGCCCUCCCAUCCUGCCGACUCCCCUGUCAUUCUUCAGCUUCAGUUUCUCUUCGACGUGCUGCAGAAAACGCUUUCACUCAAGCUGGUCCAUGUUGCUGGUCCUGGCCCCCCAGGGCCCAUCAAGAUUUUCCCCUUCAAAUCCCUUCGGCACCUGGAGCUCCGAGGUGUUCCCCUCCACUGUCUACAUGGCCUCCGAGGCAUCUACUCCCAGCUGGAGACCCUGAUUUGCAGCAGGAGCCUCCAGGCAUUAGAGGAGCUCCUCUCAGCCUGCGGUGGCGACUUCUGCUCUGCCCUCCCUUGGCUGGCUCUGCUUUCUGCCAACUUCAGCUGCAAUGCACUGACCGCCUUAGACAGCUCCCUGCGCCUCUUGUCAGCUCUGCGUUUCUUGAACCUAAGCCACAAUCAAGUCCAGGACUGUCAGGGAUUCCUGAUGGAUUUGUGUGAGCUCCACCAUCUGGACAUCUCCUAUAAUCGCCUGCAUUUGGUGCCAAGAAUGGGACCCUCAGGGGCUGCUCUGGGGGUCCUGAUACUGCGAGGCAAUGAGCUUCGGAGCCUGCAUGGCCUAGAGCAGCUGAGGAAUCUGCGGCACCUGGAUUUGGCAUACAACCUGCUGGAAGGACACCGGGAGCUGUCACCACUGUGGCUGCUGGCUGAGCUCCGCAA
rnacentral:sRNA from 1 species